rnacentral:lncRNA from 1 species
AAGUUUAGCUUGUGCAUUUUUUAAGACUUUAUUGCAUACUUGCCCACUGAUUGCAAUGUGGUUUAUUGUUUCUUUCUUUCCUUUAUGGAUGGAUGGAUGGACAAUGAGAACAGAAUUUUGUCUAACACUAUUCAGUAUCUACUGAACCUUCUGGAUAGUUACAACAGAGAACUUCCUGGAAGGGUAAUCCAAAUACUGUGUAAGGAGAAAGAGGAAAAUGAGAUGCUGAAAGAGAAGACAAAAAAGCUAGAGGAAAGAAUGCAAGAGCUGUUGGCUAAAGCAAUGGCCAUGCACCAACACUCUGAGGACAUCAGUGACCCUUCACGUUUGUCUGCAGUGCUGGAGAGAUACGAGAUGCUCCGGCUACAGGAAUGGGAGAAAGUCAGGAGCUCCAUGCCCUACCGUUGGACGUAUGAAGAAGGCAGUCGCGCCAUUAGGAGGGUGUUUGAUGCCUGUGAAAAAGAUAUACAGAAGAGAGCAGAUGACAUACUUAAAGUUCUUGACAUUCCACCUUCAAACAAGGUGAUGAUGCAAGACAUACUGAAGCUGCUCAGGCAACAAUAUCACCAAAACUCAAUGGUUUACAAGAAAAUUGUUCAAGAAGCUGCCAUUCACAUAAGAACUGAAAAUGAAACACAGUUCCUGCUGCAGUGCUGUCAAAUUUAUUGUCUACUGCUUCUUCAGGACCCACCAGUUAAAGCUGAGUGGAGGAUGAACAGAAACCAUUUAGAGCACGUGGACAAGAAAGAUGAAGUGCACUGGAAAAAAGUAUCACUUCUGUGGCCCAUAAUGAAACGUGGGGAAGAAAUUAUUGUGAAAGGUGUAGUCUGGGAUCAAAGGAAAAUGACUUGAGAGUCAGGCUAAUUACUUACUUAGCCAUAAGAAGAUGAAACAGCUGCUAUGUGAUACUCUGCUUUUCUUUCUCCCAUGAAUUGCCUACUUUUCAGAGCUAGUAAGUUAGACAUCCCCCACAUGGGACAUCUAGGAUAAAUCAUCAUUAACAAACCUGUAUUAAAAAUUGCAGCUAUUCCAAUUGUCUCCUCACAAAGGCCACCUGCCUGUUAGCACUCCCCUGCUUUCCCACAUCUGUACAAUUUACCUCUCCCAAAGUCCUUCAGCUACACACAUGCCACAGCACUGGACCAAAGAACUCUAAAAGCUGUAUUCCAUGGCAUAAUGGGGAUGCAAUGAGGCAAAUGCAUGUUUAUGUGAUUUGGUGUGACACAGUAUUCUGUGAGCAACUUGAGAAUUACCAAAUAAAAAAUACUUUAAAUUCUGCUGUGUGCCUGCU